rnacentral:rRNA from 1 species
GGGGCUACACAUGCAAGUCGAACGGUAACAGGAAGCAGCUUGCUGCUUCGCUGACGAGUGGCGGACGGGUGAGUAAUGUCUGGGAAACUGCCUGAUGGAGGGGGAUAACUACUGGAAACGGUAGCUAAUACCGCAUAACGUCGCAAGACCAAAGAGGGGGACCUUCGGGCCUCUUGCCAUCGGAUGUGCCCAGAUGGGAUUAGCUAGUAGGUGGGGUAACGGCUCACCUAGGCGACGAUCCCUAGCUGGUCUGAGAGGAUGACCAGCCACACUGGAACUGAGACACGGUCCAGACUCCUACGGGAGGCAGCAGUGGGGAAUAUUGCACAAUGGGCGCAAGCCUGAUGCAGCCAUGCCGCGUGUAUGAAGAAGGCCUUCGGGUUGUAAAGUACUUUCAGCGGGGAGGAAGGCGAUAAGGUUAAUAACCUUGUCGAUUGACGUUACCCGCAGAAGAAGCACCGGCUAACUCCGUGCCAGCAGCCGCGGUAAUACGGAGGGUGCAAGCGUUAAUCGGAAUUACUGGGCGUAAAGCGCACGCAGGCGGCCUGUCAAGUCGGAUGUGAAAUCCCCGGGCUCAACCUGGGAACUGCAUUCCAAACUGGCAGGCUAGAGUCUUGUAUAGGGGGGUAGAAUUCCCCGU